GCGGGGUGGGGCGCAGGGGACAGAGCCACUCUGAAGGCUGCCCGGGGGGCGUCUGGGCCCCGGAGGUGAAGAGUGCCAGGUACCUGUGGCAGGAGCUGCCUGUGCGCAUCGCCCACUGCAUCCGUGGCUUCCGCAGCCUGCCCUUCAUCAUCGGCUGCAACCCCACCAUGCUGCACCUGCUGCCAAAAAGGAGACCUUCUUCAAUUUCUUAAUUGCUCCUCCUGUGCAAGCUCUUCUGUCUGUCUGCUGAGAUGUUUCUGCCUGUUCAUCUGGCAGAGAAGUGUUUGCUUUUUUGGCUGGCGAGCUGACCAUCCGUACUACCGUCGUCUUGAAUGCCUCCAACCAGCACUGUUUGCUGCCAGACAGACACCUGGAGAAGACAGAGGACAUGGUUAAGUUCAUGAAGGAUAUCUUGGAUGGUGCUGCUGAAGCACAGGGUGGUGAUGGACUUCUGCAACGGAGCAAGAGAGUCAUCUAUGAGGCCAAGUCUGCUGUAAUGGUAGAGUUUAUUGCUUAUUCAGUGAGGUGAUGCUCUUGUCAGUCAAAAAAGACUUAGUUGCAGAGGCUUUAGAAAUACUUUGAUGUAAGCUUGUUGCUCUGCUGUGCCUAGUGUAUCUAUUGUCACUAUUUAUAACUAGGCUUAAACCAAAUGAACUUCUUGAUUAAAAUAGCCAAUAAUGUCUGCCAUAGUUCUAACUGUUCCACAUGCAUUAAUUUCACAUUUUUCACUCUGCUGUUAGUCUGACAUAAUUUAAGAGACAGAAUCAUGAAAAUCCAACAUCUUUUCCUUGAGCUUUUUGCCAUCGCUUCAGAGGUUCUUUUGUGUUCUGAGCAAUGUUUUGGUUUCAGUCUGUUCCAGUCCUCUGCCACCCUCACAGACAAGAAAUCUCUGCUCCUGUUGAGGUGGAACAGCUUCUGUCUGUUGUUACUUGGCCUAUUGCUGAGCACCACCAAAAGGCAGCUGGCACCUUGGUGCUGACACCUGCCCCUGGGAAAUGUAUAGACGUUAAUAAGAUCCCUUCUCUUCUCCAGACUAAACAGCCCCAGGCCUCUCACUCUUCUUUCCAGCCCCACUGUGUCCUGCCCCCUCCUCUCUUGCCCCUCCCCCCGUGUCCCGCCCCCUCCUCUCUUGCCCCUCCCACCGUGUCCCAGCCCCUCCUCUCCCCCUGUCCUCUCCCCCACUUCCACCUCCUCUCUUCGCCCCCCUCCACCUCCUCUCUUCCCCCCCCUCCACCUCCUCUCUUUUCCCACCCCUCCUCUCUUCACCCCCCCACCUCCUCUCUUUUCC